AUUGAACGCUGGCGGCAGGCCUAACACAUGCAAGUCGAACGAGUGGCGGACGGGUGAGUAAUGUCUGGGCAACUGCCUGAUGGACGGGGAUAACUACUGGAAACGGUAGCUAAUACCGCAUACCAUCAGAUGUGCCCAGAUGGGAUUAGCUUGUUGGUGGGGUAACGGCUCACCAAGGCGACGAUCCCUAGCUGGUCUGAGAGGAUGACCAGCCACACUGGAACUGAGACACGGGCCAGACUCCUACGGGAGGCAGCAGUGGGGAAUAUUGGACAAUGGGCGAAAGCCUGAUGCAGCCAUGCCGCGUGUAUGAAGAAGGGCGUCGGGUUGUAAAGUACUGUCAGCAGGGAGGCGUUACCCAAAGAAGAAGCAACGGCUAACUACGUGCCAGCAGCCGCGGUAAUUC
rnacentral:rRNA from 1 species